UGUGUGAACAUCAGCGAGCUGCCAGAUGAGAUAGACAUCUCCUCUUACAUUGAACCAGCACGAUAAAAGAUUGGACUUCCAUUUGCUUUGCAGUUUCACUUUGAUUGAAGAUGCGAACUGUCUUUAUAUAUAAACCUGUAAGACAGCAGAUAUUUUCCUGAUCCUGUGCGUUUCGAAAGAAUCAAAGUGGUGGUUCGGCUCCCUCUGCAGGGAGGAUUCAGAAUAAACUUUAUAUAUUAUUUAAGUUUCUAAGGUCAGUGUUUGAAUUUCAUUUUGUUAUUGUUUAAAGAUAGUUGAUUUUUUUUUCCUUUUUAGAUGUGAGUGUAAGCUGAUUUAUUACCAGAGGUAGUUGUAGUACCGACAGUAGAGAAGCAAACUGUUUACUGUUGAGUGGAUUCAUAAAGAUGGUUUUUGCCUGG